GGGUUGUGAGGUUAAGCGACUAAGCGUACACGGUGGAUGCCCUGGCAGUCAGAGGCGAUGAAGGACGUGCUAAUCUGCGAUAAGCGUCGGUGAGGUGAUAUGAACCGUUAUAACCGGCGAUUUCCGAAUGGGGAAACCCAGUGUGUUUCGACACACUAUCAUUAACUGAAUCCAUAGGUUAAUGAGGCGAACCGGGGGAACUGAAACAUCUAAGUACCCCGAGGAAAAGAAAUCAACCGAGAUUCCCCCAGUAGCGGCGAGCGAACGGGGAGGAGCCCAGAGCCUGAAUCAGUGUGUGUGUUAGUGGAAGCGUCUGGAAAGGCGUGCGAUACAGGGUGACAGCCCCGUACACAAAAAUGCACAUAUUGUGAGCUCGAUGAGUAGGGCGGGACACGUGGUAUCCUGUCUGAAUAUGGGGGGACCAUCCUCCAAGGCUAAAUACUCCUGACUGACCGAUAGUGAACCAGUACCGUGAGGGAAAGGCGAAAAGAACCCCGGCGAGGGGAGUGAAAAAGAACCUGAAACCGUGUACGUACAAGCAGUGGGAGCCUCUUAAUGGGGUGACUGCGUACCUUUUGUAUAAUGGGUCAGCGACUUAUAUUCUGUAGCAAGGUUAACCGAAUAGGGGAGCCGAAGGGAAACCGAGUCUUAACUGGGCGUUAAGUUGCAGGGUAUAGACCCGAAACCCGGUGAUCUAGCCAUGGGCAGGUUGAAGGUUGGGUAACACUAACUGGAGGACCGAACCGACUAAUGUUGAAAAAUUAGCGGAUGACUUGUGGCUGGGGGUGAAAGGCCAAUCAAACCGGGAGAUAGCUGGUUCUCCCCGAAAGCUAUUUAGGUAGCGCCUCGUGAAUUCAUCUCCGGGGGUAGAGCACUGUUUCGGCAAGGGGGUCAUCCCGACUUACCAACCCGAUGCAAACUGCGAAUACCGGAGAAUGUUAUCACGGGAGACACACGGCGGGUGCUAACGUCCGUCGUGAAGAGGGAAACAACCCAGACCGCCAGCUAAGGUCCCAAAGUCAUGGUUAAGUGGGAAACGAUGUGGGAAGGCCCAGACAGCCAGGAUGUUGGCUUAGAAGCAGCCAUCAUUUAAAGAAAGCGUAAUAGCUCACUGGUCGAGUCGGCCUGCGCGGAAGAUGUAACGGGGCUAAACCAUGCACCGAAGCUGCGGCAGCGACACUAUGUGUUGUUGGGUAGGGGAGCGUUCUGUAAGCCUGUGAAGGUGGCCUGUGAGGGUUGCUGGAGGUAUCAGAAGUGCGAAUGCUGACAUAAGUAACGAUAAAGCGGGUGAAAAGCCCGCUCGCCGGAAGACCAAGGGUUCCUGUCCAACGUUAAUCGGGGCAGGGUGAGUCGACCCCUAAGGCGAGGCCGAAAGGCGUAGUCGAUGGGAAACAGGUUAAUAUUCCUGUACUUGGUGUUACUGCGAAGGGGGGACGGAGAAGGCUAUGUUGGCCGGGCGACGGUUGUCCCGGUUUAAGCGUGUAGGCUGGUUUUCCAGGCAAAUCCGGAAAACCAAGGCUGAGGCGUGAUGACGAGGCACUACGGUGCUGAAGCGACAAAUGCCCUGCUUCCAGGAAAAGCCUCUAAGCAUCAGGUAACAUCAAAUCGUACCCCAAACCGACACAGGUGGUCAGGUAGAGAAUACCAAGGCGCUUGAGAGAACUCGGGUGAAGGAACUAGGCAAAAUGGUGCCGUAACUUCGGGAGAAGGCACGCUGAUAUGUAGGUGAAGCGACUUGCUCGUGGAGCUGAAAUCAGUCGAAGAUACCAGCUGGCUGCAACUGUUUAUUAAAAACACAGCACUGUGCAAACACGAAAGUGGACGUAUACGGUGUGACGCCUGCCCGGUGCCGGAAGGUUAAUUGAUGGGGUUAGCGGUAACGCGAAGCUCUUGAUCGAAGCCCCGGUAAACGGCGGCCGUAACUAUAACGGUCCUAAGGUAGCGAAAUUCCUUGUCGGGUAAGUUCCGACCUGCACGAAUGGCGUAAUGAUGGCCAGGCUGUCUCCACCCGAGACUCAGUGAAAUUGAACUCGCUGUGAAGAUGCAGUGUACCCGCGGCAAGACGGAAAGACCCCGUGAACCUUUACUAUAGCUUGACACUGAACAUUGAGCCUUGAUGUGUAGGAUAGGUGGGAGGCUUUGAAGUGUGGACGCCAGUCUGCAUGGAGCCGACCUUGAAAUACCACCCUUUAAUGUUUGAUGUUCUAACGUUGGCCCGUAAUCCGGGUUGCGGACAGUGUCUGGUGGGUAGUUUGACUGGGGCGGUCUCCUCCUAAAGAGUAACGGAGGAGCACGAAGGUUGGCUAAUCCUGGUCGGACAUCAGGAGGUUAGUGCAAUGGCAUAAGCCAGCUUGACUGCGAGCGUGACGGCGCGAGCAGGUGCGAAAGCAGGUCAUAGUGAUCCGGUGGUUCUGAAUGGAAGGGCCAUCGCUCAACGGAUAAAAGGUACUCCGGGGAUAACAGGCUGAUACCGCCCAAGAGUUCAUAUCGACGGCGGUGUUUGGCACCUCGAUGUCGGCUCAUCACAUCCUGGGGCUGAAGUAGGUCCCAAGGGUAUGGCUGUUCGCCAUUUAAAGUGGUACGCGAGCUGGGUUUAGAACGUCGUGAGACAGUUCGGUCCCUAUCUGCCGUGGGCGCUGGAGAACUGAGGGGGGCUGCUCCUAGUACGAGAGGACCGGAGUGGACGCAUCACUGGUGUUCGGGUUGUCAUGCCAAUGGCACUGCCCGGUAGCUAAAUGCGGAAGAGAUAAGUGCUGAAAGCAUCUAAGCACGAAACUUGCCCCGAGAUGAGUUCUCCCUGACUCCUUGAGGGUCCUGAAGGAACGUUGAAGACGACG
rnacentral:rRNA from 1 species